AGUGAACGCUGGCGGUAGGCCUAACACAUGCAAGUCGAACGGCAGCACAGUAAGAGCUUGCUCUUACGGGUGGCGAGUGGCGGACGGGUGAGGAAUACAUCGGAAUCUACUUUUUCGUGGGGGAUAACGUAGGGAAACUUACGCUAAUACCGCAUACGACCUACGGGUGAAAGCAGGGGAUCUUCGGACCUUGCGCGAUUGGAUGAGCCGAUGUCGGAUUAGCUAGUUGGCGGGGUAAAGGCCCACCAAGGCGACGAUCCGUAGCUGGUCUGAGAGGAUGAUCAGCCACACUGGAACUGAGACACGGUCCAGACUCCUACGGGAGGCAGCAGUGGGGAAUAUUGGACAAUGGGCGCAAGCCUGAUCCAGCCAUACCGCGUGGGUGAAGAAGGCCUUCGGGUUGUAAAGCCCUUUUGUUGGGAAAGAAAAGCAGCAGGUUAAUACCCCGCUGUGCUGACGGUACCCAAAGAAUAAGCACCGGCUAACUUCGUG
rnacentral:rRNA from 1 species